rnacentral:tRNA from 1 species
GCGGAAGUAGUUUAGUGGUAGAACAACACCUUCCCAAGGUGUGGGCCUAACACCUUCCCAAGGUGUGGGUCGCGGGUUCGAGUCCCGUCUUCCGCU